rnacentral:rRNA from 1 species
GACGAACGCUGGCGGCGUGCUUAAUACAUGCAAGUCAACUGAACUUUAGGUAGCAAUAUUUAAAGGGAGGUGGCGCACGGGUGAGUAACACGUAGGUAAUCUGCCUUCAGGACUGACAUAAUUCCGCGAAAGCGGGACUAAAAUCAGAUGAUGCAGCGGCUCGACAUCGAGACAGUUGUUAAACCUUCGGGGCCUGAAGAUGAGCCUGCGUCUGAUUAGGUAGUUGGCGGGGUAAAAGCCCACCAAGCCUGCGAUCAGUAGCUGGUCUGAGAGGAUGAUCAGCCACACUGGAACUGAGACACGGUCCAGACUCCUACGGGAGGCAGCAGUGGGGAAUUUUGGACAAUGGGCGCAAGCCUGAUCCAGCCAUGCCGCGUGAGUGAAGAAGGCCUCGGUUGUAAG